rnacentral:rRNA from 1 species
CCUACGGGAGGCAGCAGUGAGGAAUAUUGGUCAAUGGCCGGAAGGCUGAACCAGCCAUGCCGCGUGAAGGUCAGUGCCCUAUGGGCGUUAAACUUCUUUUGUGCGGGAGCAAUAAUGGUCACGUGUGGCCAGACGAGAGUACCGUACGAAUAAGCAUCGGCUAACUCCGUGCCAGCAGCCGCGGUAAUACGGGGGAUGCAAGCGUUUUCCGGAUUUAUUGGGUUUAAAGGGUGCGUAGGCUGUGAGGUUAGUCAGCGGUGAAAUGCCCCCGCUCAACGGGGUGAAGUGCCAUUGAUACUGCCUGGCUGGAAUGCGGAUGAGGUGGGAGGAAUGUGUGGUGUAGCGGUGAAAUGCAUAGAUAUCACACAGAACACCGAUUGCGAAGGCAUCUCACGAAUCCGCGAUUGACGCUGAUGCACGAAAGCGUGGGUAUCAAACAGGAUUAGAUACCCCAGUAGUC